rnacentral:rRNA from 1 species
UACAGAGGGUGCAAGCGUUAAUCGGAAUUACUGGGCGUAAAGCGCGCGUAGGCGGCUUUUCAAGUCGAGUGUGAAAGCUCCAGGCUUAACCUGGGAAUUGCGCUCGAUACUGUUGAGCUAGAGUGUGGAAGGGGCUACUGGAAUUCCGUGUGUAGCGGUGAAAUGCGUAGAUAUACGGAGGAACACCAGCGGCGAAGGCGGGUAGCUGGACCAACACUGACGCUGAUGCGCGAAAGCCAGGGGAGCGAACGGG